AGUGAACGCUGGCGGCGUGCUUAACACAUGCAAGUCGAACGAGAACGGAAUAUAGCUUGCUAUAUUUGUCAGCUAAGUGGCGCACGGGUGAGUAAUGUAUAGAUAACCUGCCCUUAAGGAAGGAAUAACAGUUGGAACGACUGCUAAUGCCCUAUAUGCCUUUAAUACAUAAGUAUGCAAGGGAAACGCUUUAGUGCUAGAGGAUGGGUCUGUAUGGUAUCAGUUAGUUGGUGAGGUAAUGGCUCACCAAGACUAUGACGCCUAACUGGUUUGAGAGGAUGAUCAGUCACACUGGAACUGAGACACGGUCCAGACUCCUACGGGAGGCAGCAGUGGGGAAUAUUGCACAAUGGACGAAAGUCUGAUGCAGCAACGCCGCGUGGAGGAUGACACAUUUCGGUGCGUAAACUCCUUUUAUAUAGGAAGAUAAUGACGGUACUAUAUGAAUAAGCACCGGCUAACUCCGUACCAGCAGCCGCAGUAA
rnacentral:rRNA from 1 species